rnacentral:rRNA from 1 species
GGGUGAGUAAUGUAUCGGAACGCACCAUUCAGUGGGGGAUAACGUAGCGAAAGUUACGCUAAUACCGCAUAUUCUGUGAGCAGGAAAGCAGGGGAUCGCAAGACCUUGCGCUGAUUGAGCGGCCGAUAUCAGAUUAGCUAGUUGGUGGGGUAAAAGCUCACCAAGGCGACGAUCUGUAGCGGGUCUGAGAGGAUGAUCCGCCACACUGGAACUGAGACACGGUCCAGACUCCUACGGGAGGCAGCAGUGGGGAAUUUUGGACAAUGGGGGCAACCCUGAUCCAGCCAUGCCGCGUGAGUGAAGAAGGCCUUCGGGUUGUAAAGCUCUUUCGGCCGGGAAAAAAUCGCAUGGGUUAAUACCCUGUGUGGAUGAUGGUACCGGAAUAAGAAGCACCGGCUAACUACGUGCCAGCAGCCGCGGUAAUACGUAGGGUGCGAGCGUUAAUCGGAAUUACUGGGCGUAAAGCGUGCGCAGGCGGUUUUGUAAGACAGGCGUGAAAUCCCCGGGCUCAACCUGGGAACUGCGCUUGUGACUGCAAGGCUAGAGUAUGGCAGAGGGGGGUGGAAUUCCACGUGUAGCAGUGAAAUGCGUAGAGAUGUGGAGGAACACCAAUGGCGAAGGCAGCCCCCUGGGCCAAUACUGACGCUCAUGCACGAAAGCGUGGGUAGCAAACAGGAUUAGAUACCCUGGUAGUCCACGCCCUAAACGAUGUCAACUAGGUGUUGGGAGGGUAAAACCUUUUAGUACCGGAGCUAACGCGUGAAGUUGACCGCCUGGGGAGUACGGCCGCAAGGUUAAAACUCAAAGGAAUUGACGGGGACCCGCACAAGCGGUGGAUGAUGUGGAUUAAUUCGAUGCAACGCGAAAAACCUUACCUACCCUUGACAUGUCCAGGAGCCUGAAGAGAUUUGGGUGUGCCCGAAAGGGAACUGGAACACAGGUGCUGCAUGGCUGUCGUCAGCUCGUGUCGUGAGAUGUUGGGUUAAGUCCCGCAACGAGCGCAACCCUUGUCGUUAAUUGCCAUCAUUCAGUUGGGCACUUUAACGAGACUGCCGGUGACAAACCGGAGGAAGGUGGGGAUGACGUCAAGUCCUCAUGGCCCUUAUGGGUAGGGCUUCACACGUCAUACAAUGGUCGGUGCAAAGGGUUGCCAACCCGCGAGGGGGAGCCAAUCCCAGAAAGCCGAUCGUAGUCCGGAUUGCAGGCUGCAACUCGCCUGCAUGAAGUCGGAAUCGCUAGUAAUCGUGGAUCAGCAUGUCACGGUGAAUACGUUCCCGGGUCUUGUACACACCGCCCGUCACACCAUGGGAGCGGGUUCCGCCAGAAGUAGGUAGCCUAACCGCAAGGGGGGCGCUUACCACGGCGGGGUUCGUGACUGGGGUGAAGUCGAAACAAGGUA